rnacentral:rRNA from 1 species
AUUGAACGCUGGCGGCAUGCCUUACACAUGCAAGUCGAACGGCAGCGCGGACUUCGGUCUGGCGGCGAGUGGCGAACGGGUGAGUAAUAUAUCGGAACGUACCCAGGAGUGGGGGAUAACGUAGCGAAAGUUACGCUAAUACCGCAUACGAUCUAAGGAUGAAAGCAGGGGACCGCAAGGCCUUGUGCUCCUGGAGCGGCCGAUAUCUGAUUAGCUAGUUGGUGGGGUAAAGGCCUACCAAGGCAUCGAGUCAGUAGCUGGUCUGAGAGGACGACCAGCCACACUGGGACUGAGACACGGCCCAGACUCCUACGGGAGGCAGCAGUGGGGAAUUUUGGACAAUGGGGGGCAACCCUGAUCCAGCAAUGCCGCGUGAGUGAAGAAGGCCUACGGGUUGUAAAGCUCUUUUGUCAGGGAAGAAACGGUUGGGGCUAAUAUCCCCGGCUAAUGACGGUACCUGAAGAAUAAGCACCGGCUAACUACGUGCCAGCAGCCGCGGUAAU